rnacentral:rRNA from 1 species
CCUGUUUAUCAAACACAUUUCUAAUUUUUAUGUUAGUAGGCCCUGCUCACUGAAAAUAAACAGCCGCAGUAUUCUAACUGUGCUAAGGUAGCAUAAUAAUUAGGCUUUCCAUAGGAGUCUGGGAUGAUCGGGUUGACGAUUUCUUGGCUUUCUUUACCUAAAAAAAGAAUUUUAUAUAUAAGUAAAAAAGCUUAUCUUUUUAGGGGGACGAUAAGACCCUAUAAAGCUUUACUUAGACGGUAAUUUUUAAGGAAUGAGCCAGGGAUAUAAGUUGGGCUGGGGCGGCAAUUAAAAUACUUUAAUUUAAUUAACAAGAUGCUUGAAAGGUGAGAUCUACAAAGAGAUAGAAUAAGUUACUUUAGGGAUAACAGCGCAAUUUUCUUAGAGAGAUCUUAUCGAUAAGAAAGACUUGCGACCUCGAUGUUGAAUUGAGGGGCCUGAUCUAAGUAGCAAUAGAUAGCAGGGAGUCUGUUCGACUUUUAAUACCUCACGUGAUCUGAGUUCAGACC